rnacentral:rRNA from 1 species
UGUGUAGGCGGUUAUCUAAGUUUGGUGUGAAAUCUCCCGGCUCAACUGGGAGGGUGCGCCGAAUACUGAAUAACUUCGAGUGCGGGAGAGGAUAGUGGAAUUCCUGGUGUAGCGGUGAAAUGCGUAGAUAUCAGGAGGAACACCGGUGGUGUAGACGGCUAUCUGGACCGUAACUGACGCUGAGACACGAAAGCGUGGGUAGCAAACA